AGGAAGGAAGGGUCUGAAACAGACAGGCAGGCCCUCAUAUGGAUAGGAAAACGACCUCCCAAUCUACCCCCUUUCCCGUCUCCAUCUCGACUGUCCAAGAGGUCUCUUGUUUCUCCAGCCCAUUCUGGGGCCUUUCUUGUCAGCUGGCAAAGGAGCUGCCAUUCAGCGACGAGAAGUGUCUCUCCUCCGCUCGCUGUAUCUUUCUUCUGGGGGUUUUGGUUACAGGUUCUACGAUUAGGCUUGCAAGAACAGUAGUGAACUAAACUUCCCAGUAAGAGGUCUUCACACCAGGGAAGUGUUACUUUGCCGCCGCAGCCCUGCCUCGUCACUCAUUAGGAAGCCGCAGGUUGUCAGCGGCUUCUCCCUCUUUGGCGCGCACACACGGGUGCGCGCCUUCACACGCGCAAGCCCCGGCACGGCAACUAAAUUAAGAAGCAGAUGAUUAAGAGACAAGCGUCUACGGGGCCUGUCAUUUCAGCAUCCUUCCAUCAUAACAUUGUGGCACCGGGAAAUUUGCUUGAAACCCUUGGAAAGAACAAAUCGAUGUGAGCUUCGACUGAGAGAGAGAGGGAGAGAAUAUCUGGGGAGUGCUCGCUGCGGAUUGCCUUGUGCAGAGGAGGGACACCAGACGCUGGCCAGCAGCACCCAGGGACCGCCAGAGACUUCUUGGAAACUCUUCUCGGUUUCUCUCGGCUCUCUUCAUCCAGUGUUUUAGUUUCUUCACUGUGUGGUAAACACCAACAUUUUGGUUUUGGGCACCAGGAUUUAAUUGCACUGAGUAAAAGAUAAAGGAAACUUUUGCUCCAGGCUCAGACAGCCAGUGAACAAAGACAAAGACGCAGAAGAUGGAUGCCCCCUGUGGAGAGAAGUAUGGCACUCUCAUCGAUCUGCUAACAGAUGCAAAUUUUUCCACAUGAAGAUUGCGAAUGAAAAUGCUCUUAUAGUAGGAAAAUGUAUGGAAUUUUCUUUCAACACUGAAACCAGCCCAACCAUCUGAAAACUGGAACAAACAGAACUCCAAAUCCAGAGGGUGGACAUCCCACUGAACAUGCACAUUAGAGUCCUGCAGAGUCUGUCAAAUCUUGUUCAGAAAAUGAAAAUGAUAUGGCAUAAAUAGGCAGAUGUUCAGGACCAGGACACUGUGCUCCCUCAACCUCAAGUACAUUUUCAGAAGAGGAGCAGCCUCUGGAAAGGCUGCCAGAGGCAUAUGGAAGAGGUAGGUCUCAUGCCCAUAAUUUUCCCAGAGGCAGAACAGCUAGAGAUGGGAGAAUGGCAACUGCACAGUCAGCUUAUCCUUUCUUAGAUGAACUUGCAGAAGGUAGCAGUACUGAUGCUAUGAGAGCCAUGAAUGGAAAGAGAUUCACAGUCUGUGGGUGAAAAUCCAUCCUGUCUGGAAGAAGUCAGAAAAGACACAUAUUCCUUGCAAUCUGGAGAAACAACUGGUAGAUUCUCAGAUACACCAAAGGAUGGAAGAAACAUCCAGGCUCGACCAGAUCAUCAUCUUCUGCUCAUCUUGGAUAUGCUGUACCCCAAGUACCUGGAGAAGCUUCUACACUGACAAAUUGGACAUCAAAUAAUGGAUGCUGUUUCGCUUGUUCUAGAGCAGGAGAAUUGAAAGAUUUGCCUUCAAGGUUCACAGCAGUAAUGAAGUGAAAUGUCAGGAUUGGCAUAAGCAAAGAGCCUAUUCUCACUACAGAAAGAUAUGUUAUAGGGGUAGAAAAAAUACCCCAGAUAUUUAUGCAUGACAUUUUAUGUUAACUUUCUAAUAUUUUUGGUUGGAAAACAUUGUUUUUGUCUGUUCAAAUUACAGUUUUAUAAAGGAGCAAAACUGCUAUGAAUGAUUCAAUUUACAAAAAGGGAGGGGCACAUAUGCUUAAACAGGAAAACUGUUUCGCAUGAAAGUAUAUUUUCAAGUUCUAGAUGUUUUUGGUAUUUUGGUCAAACUCAAUAAGUGCUGCUGUGACAAACAUUAUUGGUUUUGUGGGACAUUUUCUAUCGCAAAAUAUAUUGUAAUUUGGCUUGGGAUAAAAAUUAUACCACAAA